ACCAGCGCCUCGAGUGGGGAUCGCGAUUAUUGGGCCUAAAGCGUCCGUAGCAGGCUUUGUAGAUCCUUUGUGAAAUGGGCAGGCCUAACCUGUCCGCGUGCAGAGGAGACCGCAGAGCUUGAGACCGGGAGAGGUCAGAAGUAUUCUUAGGGUACCGGUAAAAUGGGUUAAUCCUGAGAGGACUACCAAUGGCGAAGGCAUCUGACCAGAACGGUUCUGACUGUGAGGGACGAAAGCUAGGGGAGCAAAACGGA
rnacentral:rRNA from 1 species